GGGGUCCUCUUUGGCAGCUGUCUGUGAGCGGGAGGCCUGAGCGCAGAGAAGCGGCCGCGCGGCAGGGUCCCAGCCGCGGGGGGCACGGCGCUAUGGAGGAGCUCGACUGCGAGCCCGCAGUAACUUGGAUUCCAGGUGUGAAUUCCAAGAAGAAGCAAAUGUGUUUUGACUGGGGCCCCGGCGAGAUGCUUCUGUGUGAAACUUCCUUCAACCAAACAGGCAAAUCAGAGAAGGUGCCGAGCUGCCCUUUUAUCUACAUCAUACGGAAAGAUGUGGAUGUUUACUCUCAAAUUUUGAGAAAACUCUUCAAUGAAUCCCAUGGAAUCUUUGUUGGCCUGCAAAAAAUUGAGGAAGAACUGUCGGGGAAGUCCAGGAAAGCUCAAUUGGUUCGAGUGAGUAAAAAUUACCGUUCAGUCAUACGGGCCUGUAUGGAAGAAAUGCAUCAGGUUGCAAUUGCUGCUAAAGAUCCAGCCAGUGGCCGGCAGUUCAGCAGCCAGGUCUCCAUUUUGUCAGCCAUGGAGCUCAUUUGGAACCUGUGUGAGAUUCUCUUUAUUGAAGUAGCACCAGCUGGCCCUCUCCUCCUUCACCUUCUUGACUGGGUCCGACUGCACGUGUGCGAGGUGGACAGUUUGUCGGCAGAUGUCCUGGGCGGUGACAACCCAAGCAAGCAUGAAAACUUCUGGGACCUGGUGACUGUUCUGGUGCUUCAGGGCCGGCUCGAUGAGGCACGGCAGAUGCUAGCCAAAGAAGCUGAUGCCAACCCCUCUUGUGCAGGCAUGUGCCGCGUCCUUGGGGACCUGAUGAGGACAAUGCCCAUUCUCAGCCCUGGCAAUACUCAGACACUGACAGAGUUGGAGCUGAAGUGGCAGCACUGGCGUGAGGAGUGUGAAAGACACUUACAAGACAACACAUUUGCAGCCAACCCCCGUCUGGAGUCUCUCUGCAAGAUCAUGCUGGGAGAUGAGGCCGCCUUGUUGGAGCAGAAGGAGCUUCUGAGCAACUGGUACCAUUUCUUAGUGACGAGGCUGCUGUACUCUAACCCCACAGUGAAGCCCAUUGACCUGCACUUCUAUGCCCAGUCCAGCCUAGACAUGUUUCUUGGAGGUGAGAGCAGUCCAGAACCACUGGACAACAUCUUGAUGGCGGCCUUUGAGUUCGACAUUCACCAGGUGAUCAAAGAGUGCAGCAUCGCCCUGAGCAACUGGUGGUUCGUAGCUCACCUCACAGACCUUUUGGAUCACUGCAGACUCCUCCAGUCACACAAUCUCUAUUUUGGUUCUAACAUGAGAGAAUUCCUCCUGCUGGAGUACGCCUCAGGACUGUUUGCUCACCACAGCCUGUGGCAGCUGGGGGUGGACUACUUUGAUUACUGCCCGGAGCUAGGCCGAGUUUCCUUGGAGCUGCACAUUGAGCGGAUUCCUCUCAACACAGAGCAGAAAGCCUUGAAGGUGCUGAGGAUUUGUGAGCAGCGGCAGAUGACUGAGCAAGGUGAUAAGGCACUUCCCCCAACCUGUCCGCUGGGCUGUCAGGGCAUCCCUAGGCUGAGCAGUGCUUACUCUGUGACAGCUCGCUUCUGCAUACUGGAGAGACAGUGUGCAGUACAUGCCAAGACAUCAGGGAGGGCAGGAGAGCCUGCUGGGGUUGGCCUUUGAAACAGGAAAAUCCGGCCCUUUGACUUUAGGUUCUCAGAGCCUGUGGUCAGAGCUGAGAGUCCUAUGUAGGUGGGAGGUUGCUACCAGCAAAGCCUGGACCAGUGGGGAAGCUUGGCAGGAGCACACAGCGAUAGGAAUAGGUGUCAACAGCUUUGUGCCAUCCUCCCACUGCUGCUGAAUGAGAGUCACUUGCACACAAAGGAAGAUGAGAUUUGUGUGGUCUCAGGACAGAUAACGGUGGGACUAUUAAUGUGGAGGAAAACCAAGAUCUUUUUUGCCACCCAAGGACAAACACUCAGAAAGCCAGUCUAGUGAGUGGGUCAUCUGUGGUAUGAGCAAAGGAAAGACAAAGAAUAAACGGAAGUUUCUGGUUUUCUCACUUAGCUGUAGAUUGAGUACUUUAGGUUGUAGUGAGGCUGUCGGAAGGCCGAGCCUGUCCCCACAGGGCUUUUCACAGGAGGAUUAUAAGGUGUGAGCCUUUGCCCUUUGUCCUUUCUCCUGCAAGUUAAAAGCAUCUGUAAGAUCUUGGCCAUGAAGGCUGUUCGUAAUAACCGCUUGGGCUCAGCACUCUCCUGGAGCAUCCGUGCCAAAGAUGCUGCCUUUGCCACACUCGUAUCUGACAGAUUCCUCCGGGAUUACUGUGAGAGAGGCUGCUUUUCUGACUUGGAUCUCAUUGACAAUCUGGGGUCAGCCAUGAUGCUCAGUGAUCGACUGACGUUUCUGGAUUGCACCUCGUUCUUUCUGGAUGACUCUGCUCACAGAUGCCCUUCCUCUUUUGGAACAGAAACAGGUAAUACUUGAUCACAUCUGACCUAUCUGUUCUGUGCCUUUGGUGGUCUUCCUCAGCUGGCUUCUGCAGCCAUACAGAAGCUCAUUUACGCCUAAGCAGUACCGUGUACACGUGUCCAAGGCUCGAGCACCAAUCCACUAUUCAUUUCAGAACAGCUGGAAGAUGCCUCACUAGAGGGAUGGAUGUGAUUUUUUCAGCAGAGCAGACAUAUGAGCUGAUGCGGUGCCUGGAAGACUUGGCCUCAGGGAGGCCAGAGUGUGGUGAACCUGAUGCCCAGCGACUGCAGGAUGACGACAUAGAGACCACCAAGGUGGAGAUGCUGAGACUGGCUCUUGCCCGGAAUCUUGCUCGGGCAAUUAUAAGGGAAGGCUCACUGGAGGGUUCCUGAGAGAAGAUGAGGACAGUUGCAAUAUAGUAACUUUGUAUGGCAAUGUAAAUAGAUUUUAAAGAAUAAAUUGUUUUGCAAAUA